rnacentral:rRNA from 1 species
GAUGAACGCUAGCGGCAGGCCUAACACAUGCGAGUCGAGGGAGAGGUUACCUUCGGGUAACCAAAACCGGCGCACGGGUGCGUAACGCGUAUACAAUCUGCCUUUCACAUAGGGAUAGCCCGAAGAAAUUUGGAUUAAUACCUAAUGGUAUAUAAGAGCGGCAUCGUUUUUAUAUUAAAGCUAAGGUGGUGAAAGAUGAGUAUGCGUUCUAUUAGCUAGUUGGAGAGGUAACGGCUCCCCAAGGCGACGAUAGAUAGGGGUUCUGAGAGGGAUGUCCCCCACACUGGUACUGAGAUACGGACCAGACUCCUACGGGAGGCAGCAGUGAGGAAUAUUGGACAAUGGUCGGAAGACUGAUCCAGCCAUGCCGCGUGCAGGAUGAAGGUCCUAUGGAUUGUAAACUGCUUUUGUAAGGGAAGAAUAAGGAGUACGUGUACUUUGAUGACGGUACCUUACGAAUAAGCAUCGGCUAACUCCGUG